rnacentral:ncRNA from 2 species
UCGAUUCCGGAGAGGGAGCCU